GUGCACCAUGAUGCUGAAAGGGAUUUAUAUGAUGGGAAGAGGCUGUUAAGCAGCUGAUUCCACCCAUCCCUGCACGUCGCAGAAAUGCGGUGUUUUUGGGACAAACCCUUUUCACAUAGAGUUUACACUUUAGUUAUUCAGUAAAAGCUACAGUUUAUUCGUUAAAAGCAAACACUGUAAGAGGAACCCACCCUUUAAAAAUACCAGAAGUAGUCCACAGUAUUUUGAAAUAGAAAGUAAAAGGAGCAAAGUGGUCAAACAAAUCUCAGAGGACAUUAGCGGCCAGUCAGCAAAGCUAUUAUAAAGGAGCUGCUUCAUCUACAUCUCAUUCUACUCUGAAGAAAGACCCACAAUGCAUUUCUACAUUCUUUCGGUUCUUCUCUUUGGGGCACUUCUUGCUAAUGAAUUGGCUGCCGUCUCUUCAGAUUUCCCCUGCAUGCAUUCGGACAGGACUGAUGCAUACAACAAAUUCCUGUAUAAGCAUGUGAAUUCAGAUGCUCCACAAUCCCUUGACCAAAACCAGUGGCAAAAUUUUAUUCGAAAAAUAAAUACAUGUGAUCGCCCAGUUCAGUCCUUUAUCCCGUACAACCAGAAACAAUCAGUGGACGAAAUCUGCUCUCCUUCAGGAGGUAAAACAUUCAGUAACCAACGUGACCUGUGUGUCAGCAAACAGGAAUUCACCUUCACUACUGUGUACGUGGACAACAACUGUAUUGUAACAGGAGUCAUCUCAGAGAAUAAGUAUCUUCUACUAGCUUGUAAUGAGAUCCAGGGUCACUGCCUUCCAGUGCAUUUUGAACCUAAUAAAAAUAAUUUUGGACCAGACAGCAAUAUGCCAGACUGCAGAAGACCAAAUUCUCAGAACCAGGCAAACUCUGUACACCUUCAUCUCAGCCUUCUCACCCUCUCACUGCUGUUAACAGCCACAGCCUAUUUUAUGUGACCAUGAGAAUAUUGUUUACCUUGGUGUAAUCUAAAGGAUUUAGACAAAAACAUAAAGAGCCGCAUGCAAAUGUAACAGUAAUACAAGCUUCAGUGUAAUCAAAUAUGAGUUUGUGCAUGAAUGAUUGAAUGCUAUUAGUGCAUGUUUUUUAAUUAAUGUGUAAUUGAGAUACCUUGUGCUGAACUUUAAAGCCACAGCGCUGUAUUAACUCUUGCUUGUUAACACUUAUAUGAAUAAUAAUAAAUCAGUUAAUACUGCA